rnacentral:rRNA from 1 species
CCUACGGGGGGCAGCAGUCGAGAAUAAUUCACAAUGGGGGCAACCCUGAUGGUGCAACGCCGCGUGGAGGAUGACGGUCUUCGGAUUGUAAACUCCUGUCAUCUGGGAGUAAGACCUGGCGAUGAAUAGUCGACAGGGUUGAUAGUACCAGAAGAGGAAGGGACGGCUAACUUCGUGCCAGCAGCCGCGGUAAUACGAAGGUCCCAAGCGUUGUUCGGAAUCACUGGGCGUAAAGGGAGCGUAGGCGGCGUGGUAAGUCAGAUGUGAAAUCCCGGGGCUCAACCCCGGAACUGCAUCCGAUACUGCCAUGCUAGAGGAUUGGAGAGGUAGCUGGAAUUCUUGGUGUAGCAGUGAAAUGCGUAGAGAUCAAGAGGAACACUCGUGGCGAAAGCGAGCUACUGGACAAUUCCUGACGCUGAGGCUCGAAGGCUAGGGUAGCGAAAGGGAUUAGAUACCCCUGUAGUCCUAGCAGUAAACGGUGCACGCUUGGUGUGAGGGGAAUCGACCCCCCUUGUGCCGGAGCUAACGCGUUAAGCGUGCCGCCUGGGAAGUACGGUCGCAAGACUAAACUCAAAGAANUUGACGGGGACCCCCCNAGCGGUGGAGUAUGUGGCUUAAUUCGAUGCACNCGAAAANCNUNNCNAGGCUUGACAUGCAUCUCUNAACNCGUGAAAGCGUGUGACCCUUC